GUUUCAGGGCGGGGUGCAAUUCCCCACCGGCGGUGAUCGGCGCAAGCCGCAAGUCCGCGAGCCGCAAGGCAGAACCGGUGCGAAUCCGGUACCGACGGUAUAGUCCGGAUGGAAGAAA
rnacentral:ncRNA from 1 species